GACAUUAUUUCAAUUUUUGUUAAUUGAACAAAAAUGAGAGACCACUUCCAAUUUCUCAAAAAAGUGAUUGUGUGAUGAGAGGCUAAUUGCUAGGCAGCACGCUGGGGAGUGAUGGCUCUUGACCCGUGAGGUUUAGUAUUUGUACCUAACACCCCAAUCUAAUACCAAGUUGAGGUUUGCUACCCACCCAUUGAGGAUGGGCGGCCAUACUAACCCGAGGGUAGGGGGCGUGCUUUGUGCGACUUCACCGAGGUGAACAGUUCAAGACCACCACACCUCACCUAACAAAACUUGCUCAAAUAACCAACAACUUUAAUGUCCUGCUUAAUUACAAGUCCACGCUACUAGGCUCAGUAAUUACAAGAUGUCAUGUAAAUCCUUAUAAACAUUCGUAUUAUUGUGUAUUUUUCCAAUGUGGGACUACACAAUAAGCCAAUGCAUCAUUAGGACACCCCAGUGAUUUCAAAAUGCGACUUGAGUAGCCACGAAGGGAUUUAAGUACAGGAAGUGUGUCCCACUUGGGAUGAAUUGAUUCAUUAAAAAGUCAACGGCAAAAGUAAUUAUAUCCAAACUAAUAUUUUAAUUAAAUUGUUAUCGAUUCAUAUAGUAUUUUAUGAUUCAUUGAUUCACAUCCAUAUUACUUAUAUAUACAGCAAAACACAAAAGAGUAGCUACCAAAUUUGUGCCGGCGCAGCUUUCUUAAUUAUAUAUAUAUCAACCUAAUUACUUACUGCAUGCAUGUAUCGUAAAG
rnacentral:lncRNA from 1 species